rnacentral:rRNA from 1 species
CCUACGGGUGGCAGCAGUGGGGGAUAUUGCACAAUGGGGGAAACCCUGAUGCAGCAACGCCGCGUGUGGGAAGAAGGUUUUCGGAUUGUAAACCACUGUUCUUGGUGAAGAUAAUGACGGUAACCAAGGAUAAAGCUCCGGCUAACUACGUUCCAGCACCCGCGGUAAUCCGUAGGGAGCAAGCGUUUUCCGGAUUUACUGGGUGUAAAGGGUGCGUAGGCGGUGUUGCGAGUCAGUCGUGAAGAUCACAGGUUCAACCUGUGGACUGCGUUUGAAACUGUGGCGCUUGAGUGAAUUAGAGGUAGGCGGAAGUCGCGGUGUAGCGGUGAAAUGCGUAGAGAUCGGGAGGAACACCAGUGGCGAAGGCGGCAUACUGGGCUUUAACUGACGCUGAGGCACGAAAGCAUGGGUAGCAAACAGGAUUAGAUACCCUGGUAGUC